AUCACAUCUCGGCCUUUCAGCUAAUAUCAGGUUAUAAUACCUGUUCUUAUCGGAUGUGUCCCAAAUGUGGGGGCUGCAUAUUAAGUGGAUUUUUCAAACCGGGAGUCGGAAGAGGCGCUUGCCCCCACCUGCCCCACACAUCGAACAAAUAUCGCGGUGCCUAUGAGAGCCGUGCCCCUUCA